UGAAAUCGGCCGAAAACUGAGAGGUUAUCAACAAAUUAUAAGUUUACGGGUACCAUGAGGAUUUUUCAUGCAUUUAAACGACAGAAGUACAAGUGAACAGAUGACACAUUAAAGUGGCUGCAGAAGCUUGAAAAGUUAGAUAGAGCAGGGACAGUCAAAACUGUGGGAUAAUACUUCUAUGGUGUCCAGCAUGUCUAGUCAGGUUGACAGAAGUGAAAGAUGGUCUGAUGGUACAGUGAUGUACAAAUGAUACUCUUUAACAAGUUUAACAUGUCAAAGAUAAUAUAAUGCCAGUUAUUAAAAUUACAUUCCCAUAAACAUUUAACAGAUACACAUUGUAAAUGUAAUUAAAAUGAUUUUAUGAAGUUUCAUGAAGGAUGGUACAGCCAACCAUUUUGAAUCAAGAAAUUUUGACUUAGGUAAAGAUAUCUAUUCUGACUCCUUAACUCUUAGCCUUUCAUAUGAUACAGAGAUAAAAGAACUACUAUUGUCGGCCACUAACCAUGUUUCAAAGCUUUUCUGUCUCUUGAUGUUUUCAAUGGAUUAGAGUCGUAAUUUAAUGUAAAGUCUGUAAAUUUCAGUAAUGGAAGUACAAAAUUUGUAGAAAGUUUUUUCAUUAUUUCAGUGUAAAAUGUUCUGUGGAUUCAUAUGAUGAGAAUGCCAAUGUUGAUCUGUAUGACUUAAUUAAACACAGAUAUUUAUACCUUCAGGUAA
rnacentral:lncRNA from 1 species